rnacentral:rRNA from 1 species
GAUGAACGCUGGCGGCGUGCCUAAUACAUGCAAGUCGAGCGAACGGACGAGAAGCUUGCUUUUCUGAUGUUAGCGGCGGACGGGUGAGUAACACGUGGAUAACCUACCUAUAAGACUGGGAUAACUUCGGGAAACCGGAGCUAAUACCGGAUAAUAUUUUGAACCGCAUGGUUCAAAAGUGAAAGACGGUCUUGCUGUCACUUAUAGAUGGAUCCGCGCUGCAUUAGCUAGUUGGUAAGGUAACGGUUUACCAAGGCAACGAUGGAUAGCCGACCUGAGAGGGUGAUCGGCCACACUGGAACUGAGACACGGUCCAGACUCCGACGGGAGGCAGCAGUAGGGGUGCUUCCGCAAGGGGCGAAAGCCUGACGGAGCAACGCCGCGUGAGUGAUGAAGGUCUUCGGAUCGUAAAACUCUGUUAUUAGGGAAGAACAUAUGUGUAAGUAACUGUGCACAUCUUGACGGUACCUAAUCAGAAAGCCACGGCUAACUACGUG